UGUGUACUCCCUCCGUUCCAAAAUACUUGACUGCCAUUUGUCCAAAAAUGGAUGUACCUAUAUACUAAAACAUGUCUAGAUACAUAUAUAUUUUGACAAAUAGAAGGCAUGUAUUGUGCAAUGGAGGGAGUAGAAU
rfam:Triticum aestivum genome assembly, contig: Triticum_aestivum_CS42_TGACv1_scaffold_513778_6BS